UCUAAUAUGGCAGAUUAGUGCAAUGAAUUUAAGCUUCAUAUAUAAAGAUUAUUGUCUUUUAUUAGAA
rnacentral:tRNA from 1 species